GGCGAGGUAGCUCAGUUGGCUAGAGCAUUCGGUUCAUACCCGACAGGUCGAGGGUUCGAAUCCCCCCCUCGCUACCA
rnacentral:tRNA from 3 species